GAUGAACGCUGGCGGCGUGCCUAAUACAUGCAAGUCGAGCGAACAGACGAGGAGCUUGCUCCUUCGACGUUAGCGGCGGACGGGUGAGUAACACGUAGGUAACCUACCUAUAAGACUGGGAUAACUUCGGGAAACCGGAUCUAAUACCGGAUAAUAUUUCGAACCGCAUGGUUCGAUAGUGAAAGAUGGCUUUGCUAUCACUUAUAGAUGGACCUGCGCCGUAUUAGCUAGUUGGUAAGGUAACGGCUUACCAAGGCAACGAUACGUAGCCGACCUGAGAGGGUGAUCGGCCACACUGGAACUGAGACACGGUCCAGACUCCUACGGGAGGCAGCAGUAGGGAAUCUUCCGCAAUGGGCGAAAGCCUGACGGAGCAACGCCGCGUGAGUGAUGAAGGUCUUCGGAUCGUAAAACUCUGUUAUUAGGGAAGAACAAACGUGUAAGUAACUGUGCACGUCUUGACGGUUCCUAAUCAGAAAGCCACGGCUAACUACGUG
rnacentral:rRNA from 1 species